rnacentral:lncRNA from 1 species
UAUUUUUAGCACACGGAGGCGCCUCGCAAAGUCUAGCGCCAUUCCGAGUCCGGCGGACGAAGUUGGCCAGCCCCACCCCCCCAGGCUAUAGCCCACCCGUUUUUGUGGCCUUUUUCCGCUGGACGAACUUGGCGCCCCGGCUUUCGGGCGGUUAUUUUUGGGCGCGAUGGUGCCUGCGGCCUAUUUUUGGCACACGGAGGCGCCUCACAAAGUCUCGCGCCAUUCCGAGUCCGGCGGACGAAGUGGGCCAGCACCACCCCCCAAGGCUAUAGCCCGCCCGUUUUUGUGGGCUUUUUCCGCUGGACGAACUUGGCGCCCCGGCCUGCGGGCGGCUGUUUUUGGGCACGGCUGUUCCCGCGGCCUAUUUUUGGCACACAGAGGUGCCUCGCAAAGUCUCACUCCAUUCCGAGUGCGGCGGUCGAAGUUGGCCAGCGCCACCCCCCAAGGCUAUAGCCAACCCGUUUUUGUGGCCUUUUUCCGCUGGACAAACUUGGCGCCCCGGCUUUCGGGCGGUUAUUUUUGGGCGCGACUGUGCCCGCAGCCUAUUUUUGGCACACGGAGGCACCUCACAAAGUCUCGCGCCAUUCCGAGUCCGGCGGACGAAGUUGGCUAGCACCACCCCCAAAGGCUAUAGCCCGCCCGUUUUUGUGGGCUUUUUCCGCUGGACGAACUUGGCGACCCGGCCUUCGGGCGGUUAUUUUUUGGCGCGGCUGUUCCCGCGGCCUAUUUUUGGCACACGGAGAUGCCUCGCAAGGUCUCGCGCCAUUCCGAGUCCGGCGGACGAAGCUGGCCAGCCCCACCCCCCAAGGCUAUAGCCCACCCGUUUUUGUGGGCUUUUUCCGCUGGACGAACUUGGCGCCCCGGCCUUCGGGCGGUUAUUUUUAUGCGGGGCUGUGCCCGCGGCCUAUUUUAUGCACGCGGAGGCACCUCAUAAAGUGUCACGCCAUUCCGAGUCCGGCGGACGAAGUUGGCCCGCCCCACCCCCCAAGGCUAUAGCCCACCCGUUUUUGUGGCCUUUUUCCGCUGGACGAACUUGGCGCCCCGGCCUUCGGGCGGUUAUUUUUGGGCGCGGCUGUGCCCGCGGCCUAUUUUUGGCACACAGAGGCGCCUCGUAAAGUCUAGCGCCAUUCCGAGUCCGGCGGACGAAGUUGGCCAGCCCCACCCCCCAAGGCUAUAGCCCGCCUGUUUUUGUGGGCUUUUUCCGCUGGACGAACUUGGCGCCCCGGCCUUCGGGCAGUUAUUUUUGGGCACGGCUGUGCCCGCGGCCUAUUUUUGGCACCCGGAGGUGCCUCGCAAAGUCUCGCGCCCUUUCCAAUCCGGCGGACGAAUUGGCCCAGCCCCACCCCCCCAGGGUAUAGCCCACCCGUUUUUGUGGCCUUUUUCCGCUGGACGAACUUGGCGCCCCGACUUUCGGGCGGUUAUUUUUGGGCGCGACGGUGCCUGCGGCCUAUUUUUGGCACACGGAGGCGCCUCACAAAGUGUCGCGCCAUUCCGACUCCGGCGGACGAAAUUCGCCAGCACCACCCCCCAAGGCUAUAGCCCGCCCGUUUUUGUGGGCUUUUUCCGCUGGACGAACUUGGCGCCCCGGCUUUCGGGCGGUUAUUUUUGGGCGCGACUGUGUCCGCGGCCUAUUUUUAGUACACGGAGGUGCCUCGCAAAGUCUCGCGCCAUUCCGAGUCUGGCGGACGAAGUCGGCCGGCCCCACCCCCCCAGGCUAUAGCCCACCCUUUUUUGUGGCCUUUUUCCGCUGGACGAACUUGGCGCCCUGGCUUUCGGGCGGUUAUUUUUGGGCACGACGGUGCCUGUGGCCUAUUUUUGGCACACGGAGGCGCCUCACAAAGUCUCGCGCCAUUCCGAGUCUGGCGGACGAAGUUGGCCAGCACCACCCCCUAAGGCUAUAGCCCGCCCGUUUUUGUGGGCUUUUUCCGCUAGACGAACUUGAAGCCCCGGCCUGCGGGCGGUUGUUUUUGGGCACGGCUGUGCCCGCGGCCUAUUUUUGGCACACAGAGGUGCCUCGCAAAGUCUCGCUCCAUUCCGAGUCCGGCAGUCGAAGUUGGCCAGCCCCACCCCCCAAGGCUAUAGCCAACCCGUUUUUGUGGCCUUUUUCCGCUGGACAAACUUGGCGUCCCGGCCUUCGGGCGGUUAUUUUUUGGCGCGGCUGUGCCCGCGGCCUAUUUUUGGCACACGGAGAUGCCUCGCAAGGUCGCGCGCCAUUCCGAGUCCGGCGGACGAAGCUGGCCAGCCCCACCCCCCAAGGCUAUAGCCCACCCGUUUUUGUGGCCUUUUUCCGCUGGACGAACUUGGCGCCCCGGCCUUCGGGCGGUUAUUUUUGGGCACGGCUGUGUCCGCGGCCUAUUUUUGGCACACGGAGGCCGCUCAGAAAGUCUCGCGCCAUUGCGAGUCCGGCGGACGAAGGGGGCCAGCCCAACCCCCCAAGGCUAUAGCCCACCCGUUUUUGUGGCCUUUUUCCGCUGGACGAACUUGGCGCCCCGGCAUUCGGGUGGUUAUUUUUGUCCGCGUUUGUGCCCGCGGCCUAUUUUUGGCACACGGAGAAAGCUCGCAAAAUCUCGCGCCAUUCCGAGUCCGGCGGACGAAGAUGGCCAGGCCCACCCCCCAAGGCUAUAGCCUACUCGUUUUUGUGGCCUUUUUCCGCUGGACGAACUUGGCGCCCCGGCCUUCGGGCGGUUAUUCUUGGGCGCCGCUUUGCCCGCGGCCUGUUUUUGGCACACGGAGGCCCCUCGCAAAGUCUCGCAGCAUUCCGAGUCUGGCAGACGAAGUGGGCCAGCCCCACCCCCCAAGGCUAUAGCCCACCCGUUUUUGUGGCCUUUUUCCGCUGGACGAACUUGGCGCCCCGGCCUUCGCGGGCUUAUUUUUGGGCGCGUCUUUUCCCACGGCCAAUUUUUGGCACACAGAGGCCCCUCGCAAAGUCUCGCGGCAUUCCGAGUCCGGCGGACGAAGUUGGCCAGCCCCACCCCCCAAGGCUAUAGCCCACCCGUUUUUGUGGCCUUUUUCCGCUGGACGAACUCGGCGCCCCGGCCUUCGGGCAGUUAUUUUUGGGCACGGCUGUGCCC